rnacentral:lncRNA from 1 species
UUUGUAACCGGACAUUUGUCUAUACUUGGCUUGUUUCCCUCUCCAUUUAAACACACACCUGAGAAGAAAUGUGAAGCCAAUCACCCAUCUCCAGCAGCAAAAGCAUUUAUAGAAAACAUUCUAGUACACCUCUACUGGAUAAAUAUGUGAACAUGGAUUUGUAAAAGGUGAAUGACAAAGGACCUGGCAGGCACUACAUGAAUAAGCCAUACAGAACCUCAAGACCCAGCUGUCAGGAGAGGGAAAGAUAGAUGCAGACUGCAGGACUAAACCCCAAGAAGCCAGUGUGUGGAUGCCAGGAACACUUUGGAGGCCUGCCUGAGGAAAAAGGAUCUUCCCUGUCAGUGGAAACCAAAGUUGCAUGGGAUGAGUUCUUCAAGAGCUCAUGUGCUCCUGGAUCCCAGCUUGCACCAUCUUGUCACAUUUUCAGGUCUGGCUCCAGUUUGCUCUUUGUAACAGGUUUCUCUUGUGUCCCUCUGUUCAGGCAGACAGGCUCACAGCACAGUUGGACACCACACACCUCCCCCUUUUUGGGAAAGGAAACUGAAGGGCAGUGUGCUCCCAGGAUGUAUCUACAUUGCAGCUGCUUUAUUAGCUGGCGCUCGGGCUCCUCUGGGCUCAGGGGUCAGAUGCAGCUGCUCCUUGGCUGCACAAAAACCUGUGUCUUUAUGAGGAAGGUGUGUUGUCGUUGGCCAGCUGGGCUGUGUUUCUUGGAUUGCCUCAAAAAUAGUUUUCUGCUUUAA